AAACCAGCACCUCAAGUGGUCAGGAGGAUGAUUGGGCCUAAAGCAUCCGUAGCCUGCUUUGUAAGUUUUCGGUUAAAUCCAUAUGCUCAACAUAUGGGCUGUCGGGAAUACUACAUAGCUAGGGAGUGGGAGAGGUAGACGGUACUCCAUAGGAAGGGGUAAAAUCCUUUGAUCUAUGGAAGACCACCUGUGGCGAAGGCGGUCUACCAGAACACGUUCGACGGUGAGGGAUGAAAGCUGGGGGAGCAAACCGGAUUAGAAACCCCGGUAGUCC
rnacentral:rRNA from 1 species